rnacentral:rRNA from 3 species
UUGUCUCAAAGAUUAAGCCAUGCAUGUCUCAGUACAAGCCAAAUUAAGGUGAAACCGCGAAAGGCUCAUUAAAUCAGUUAUGGUUCCUUAGAUCGUACCCACAUUUACUCGGAUAACUGUGGUAAUUCUAGAGCUAAUACGUGCAAACAGAGCUCCGACCGGAGACGGAAGGAGUGCUUUUAUUAGAUCAAAACCGAUCGGCGCGGCGGGCGUUCGCGCUCGUCGUCGCCGCCCUCGAUGGUGAAUCUGAAUAACUUUCGGCUGAUCGCACGGCCUCGCGCCGGCGACGCAUCUUUCAAAUGUCUGACUUAUCAACUGUCGAUGGUAGGUUCUGCGCCUACCAUGGUCGUAACGGGUAACGGGGAAUCAGGGUUCGAUUCCGGAGAGGGAGCCUGAGAAACGGCUACCACAUCCAAGGAAGGCAGCAGGCGCGCAAAUUACCCACUCCCGGCACGGGGAGGUAGUGACGAAAAAUAACGAUACGGGACUCAUCCGAGGCCCCGUAAUCGGAAUGAGUACACUUUAAAUCCUUUAACGAGGACCAAUUGGAGGGCAAGUCUGGUGCCAGCAGCCGCGGUAACUCCAGCUCCAAUAGCGUA